rnacentral:rRNA from 1 species
GAUGAACGCUGGCGGCGUGCUUAACACAUGCAAGUCGAACGAUGAAGCCCAGCUUGCUGGGUGGAUUAGUGGCGAACGGGUGAGUAACACGUGAGUAACCUGCCCUUGACUCUGGGAUAAGCCUGGGAAACUGGGUCUAAUACUGGAUAUGACUUCUCAUCGCAUGGUGGGGGGUGGAAAGAUUUAUUGGUCUUGGAUGGACUCGCGGCCUAUCAGCUUGUUGGUGAGGUAAUGGCUCACCAAGGCGACGACGGGUAGCCGGCCUGAGAGGGUGACCGGCCACACUGGGACUGAGACACGGCCCAGACUCCUACGGGAGGCAGCAGUGGGGAAUAUUGCACAAUGGGCGCAAGCCUGAUGCAGCGACGCCGCGUGAGGGAUGACGGCCUUCGGGCUGUAAACCUCUUUCAGUAGGGAAGAAGCGAGAGUGACGAUACCUGCAGAAGAAGCGCCGGCUAACUACGUG